rfam:Triticum urartu cultivar G1812 contig270058, whole genome shotgun sequence.
AUACUACUCCCUCCGUCCGGAAAUACUUGUCAUCAAAAUAAAUAAAAGGGGAUGUAUCUAGAUGUAUUUUAGUUCUAGAUACAUCCCUUUUUGUCCAUUUUGAUGACAAGUAUUGUCGGACGGAGGGAGUAGAUU